AUUAUAUUCCUUCAUUAAUACUGCUGUGUGAUUUUUUUUUCCUCCUGUAAUGCACGAAGACCAAUUAUUUGUUAUGCUUAUGCUACUAAGUGUUUUUUUUUUCCCUAAAAAUAUCAAUCAGAUGCAGCACAAUGCAACACCACUGACACAGCAGAAAGAAUGUCAGAGGCCAUGGGCGCAGAAGACACAGCAGAUGUUGUCCAGAUGCAGUCAGCAGAAGACAUUUUAGAGGCCAUGUGUGAAAAUGGUACAGAGCUGGAAAAACAGUCCUCAGAAACAGCCACUACUGUAGCCAUCAUGAUGACUGCAGA